rnacentral:pre_miRNA from 1 species
AAUAAGUGCAGCUAUGGUUUUUCGCGCCCAACUUUGACCGUUCGUCUUAUUUAAAAAAAUUUAAAAAAAAUUUAAAAACAUAAGUCACGAGUAAAGUACUAUUCAUAUUUUAUCAUCUCAUAACAACAAAAAUACUAAUUAUAAAAAAAUUUCAAAUAAGACGGACGAUCAAAGUUGGGCACGGAAACUCAUGGCUGCACUUAUU